rnacentral:rRNA from 1 species
GACGAACGCUGGCGGCGUGCUUAACACAUGCAAGUCGAACGAAGUGGCGAACGGGUGAGUAACGCGUAAUCAACCUGCACUUCAGAGGGGGACAACACUUGGCAACGACUGCUAACACCGCAUCCUGCAGGUGGGGAAUGACGCUGAUGAGCUAGUUGGCGCGGUAAAGGCCCAACAAGGGGAUGAACAGUAGCCGGUGUGAGGGGAUGAACUGCUACAUGGUGACUGAGACACGGCCCAGACUCCGACGGGAGGCAGCAGUGGGGAAUAUUCCGCAAUUGACGACAGUCUGACGGAGCAACGCCGCGUGAGUUAUGACGGCCUUCGGGUUGGAAAGCUCUGUUAAUCGGGACGCGGUACCGGAAUAGAAAGCCACGGCUAACUACGUGCCAGCAGCCGCGGUAAUUC